GAUAAACGCUGGCGGCGUGCAUAACACAUGCAAGUCGAACGAUGAAACUUAACUGAUCUCUUCGGAGUGAAAUUAAGUGGAUUAGUGGCGGACGGGUGAGUAACGCGUGAGUAACCUGCCUUAGAGAAGGGGAUAGCCUUUGGAAACGAAGAAUAAUACCCUAUGAUAUGAUAGCAUCGCAUGAUAUUAUCAUCAAAAGAUUUAUCGCUCUAAGAUGGACUUGCGUCUGAUUAGUUAGUUGGUGAGGUAAAGGCUCACCAAGGCAGCGAUCAGUAGCCGGCUUGAGAGAGUGUACGGCCACAUUGGGACUGAGACACGGCCCAG
rnacentral:rRNA from 1 species